GUGCUCUCUAAGGUCUCUUUUAGGACAAAAACUUUAUGACCUGUAAAGUGGUCAAUAAACUAAGAAUUCUGCAUAGCCUCCUAGCCGCCUAGUCCUCUGAACUGGUUCUCCCUUCUGAACUUGUGAUGCCGAGUGUGGGACCCAUUGUUGCUUCUCUGAACACUGAUGAGAAAAUUGAGUCCUAGAGAAGUAAAGGAACUUGCUCCAGUCACUCAGAUGGGAAGUGGGUGAGGCAAGCUGUCUUCCUCGAGUGUUUGCCUUGAACUGAGAGACUCCAGAGAUCACGACUUUAACUUCUAACUCAGAAUCAGCUUGCAUCUUUUCCUACGGAAGACAUUUUUAUA